UACGUAGGGUGCAGGCGUUAAUCGGAAUUACUGGGCGUAAAGCGUGCGCAGGCGGUUUGCUAAGACAGGUGUGAAAUCCCCGGGCUUAACCUGGGAACUGCGCUUGUAACUGGCAAGCUGGAGUGUGGCAGAGGGGGGGUGGAAUUCCACGUGUAGCAGUGAAAUGCGUAGAGAUGUGGAGGAACACCGAUGGCGAAGGCAGCCCCCCUGGGCUAACACUGACGCUCAUGCACGAAAGCGUGGGGAGCAAACAGG
rnacentral:rRNA from 1 species